rnacentral:rRNA from 1 species
ACUCUUUCCCUACACGACGCUCUUCCGAUCUUGAGGAUGAAAGUGGGGGAUCGCAAGACCUCAUGCUCAUGGAGUGGCCGAUAUCUGAUUAGCUAGUUGGUGAGGUAAAGGCUCACCAAGGCGACGAUCAGUAGCUGGUCUGAGAGGAUGAUCAGCCACAUUGGGACUGAGACACGGCCCAAACUCCUACGGGAGGCAGCAGUGGGGAAUCUUGCACAAUGGAGGAAACUCUGAUGCAGCGAUGCCGCGUGAGUGAAGAAGGCCUUUGGGUUGUAAAGCUCUUUCGUCGGGGAAGAAAAUGACUGUACCCGAAUAAGAAGGUCCGGCUAACUUCGUGCCAGCAGCCGCGGUAAUACGAAGGGACCUAGCGUAGUUCGGAAUUACUGGGCUUAAAGAGUUCGUAGGUGGUUGAAAAAGUUGGUGGUGAAAUCCCAGAGCUUAACUCUGGAACUGCCAUUAAAACUUUUCAGCUAGAGUAUGAUAGAGGAAAGCAGAAUUUCUAGUGUAGAGGUGAAAUUCGUAGAUAUUAGAAAGAAUACCAAUUGCGAAGGCAGCUUUCUGGAUCAUUACUGACACUGAGGAACGAAAGCAUGGGUAGCGAAGAGGAUUAGAUACCCUCGUAGUCCAUGCCGUAAACGAUGUGUGUUAGACGUUGGAAAUUUAUUUUCAGUGUCGCAGGGAAACCGAUAAACACACCGCCUGGGGAGUACGACCGCAAGGUUAAAACUCAAAUGAAUUGACGGGGACCCGCACAAGUAGUGGAGCAUGUGGUUUAAUUCGAAGAUACGCGCAGAACCUUACCAACACUUGACAUGUUCGUCGCGACUCUAAGAGAUUAGAGUUUUCGGUUCGGCCGGACGAAACACAGGUGCUGCAUGGCUGUCGUCAGCUCGUGUCGUGAGAUGUUGGGUUAAGUCCCGCAACGAGCGCAACCCUCACUUUUAGUUGCCAUCAUUAAGUUGGGCACUCUGAAAGAACUGCCAGUGAUAAGCUGGAGGAAGGUGGGGAUGACGUCAAGUCCUCAUGGCCCUUACGUGUUGGGCUACACACGUGCUACAAUGGCAUCUACAACAGGAAGCAAAACGGCAACGUUAAGCAAAUCCCGAAAAGAUGCCUCAGUUCGGAUUGCACUCUGCAACUCGAGUGCAUGAAGCUGGAAUUACUAGUAAUCGUGGAUCAGCGUGCCACGGUGAAUGCGUUCCCGGGUCUUGUACACACCGCCCGUCACACCAUGGGAGUUGGUUCUACCUUAAGGCAAGGUUUUAAACCCUUGACCACGGUAUAGUCAGCGACUGGGGUGAAGUCGUAACAAGGUAGCCGU